rnacentral:rRNA from 1 species
UACGUAGGGGGCAAGCGUUGUCCGGAAUCAUUGGGCGUAAAGAGCGCGUAGGCGGCCCGAUAAGUCCGCUGUGAAAGUCAAGGGCUCAACCCUUGAAUGCCGGUGGAUACUGUCGGGCUAGAGUCCGGAAGAGGCGAGUGGAAUUCCUGGUGUAGCGGUGAAAUGCGCAGAUAUCGGGAAGAACACCUAUGGCGAAGGCAGCUCUCUGGGACGGUACUGACGCUGAGACGCGAAAGCGUGGGGAGCGAACAGG